rnacentral:rRNA from 1 species
GGGGAAUAUUGGACAAUGGGCGCAAGCCUGAUCCAGCCAUACCGCGUGUGUGAAGAAGGCCCUAGGGUUGUAAAGCACUUUCAGAGGGGAGGAAAGGUUAAUGGUUAAUACCCAUUAGCUGUGACGUUACCUUCAGAAGAAGCACCGGCUAACUCUGUGCCAGCAGCCGCGGUAAUACAGAGGGUGCGAGCGUUAAUCGGAAUUACUGGGCGUAAAGCGCGCGUAGGUGGUUUGUUAAGUCGGAUGUGAAAGCCCAGGGCUCAACCUUGGAAUUGCACCCGAUACUGGCAGGCUAGAGUACGAUAGAGGAGUGUGGAAUUUCCUGUGUAGCGGUGAAAUGCGUAGAUAUAGGAAGGAACAUCAGUGGCGAAGGCGACACUCUGGAUUGAUACUGACACUGAGGUGCGAAAGCGUGGGGAGCAAAC